UAUGUGCUGACUGUCUCCAUCUUUAUUUAA
rnacentral:piRNA from 1 species